rnacentral:rRNA from 1 species
AUGCUUGCCGGCAGUAUGAAUAACGAUAACGAUAAUGUUAUUGACUUGAUAUCGGAUAGUGGUGAUGAUUUUGAUUCUGACUCUGACGAUCCAACUUCUACAAAUGUCACAUCUGGCGAGAAUGGCGGAGGGCAAUCAGUCUGCUUUCAGGACGAAGAUUUGUUGAGGAGCACUCCCUCUUCUUCCAGGUGUAAUAUAAAUGAUAAUGGUCAGUACAGAACUCUGCCACCUUCCUUCGCAAAUGGUAUUGAUAUUGAGAAAGCCCGUUAUACACUAGGUUCGGGGGACAGAACUUAUCCACAUUCAAAUUCGGGGCCAAGACACGAUUCUGGAAGGGCCUCUCUCUCGUCCAGUAGACUUGAUAUCGCAGUGAGGGAGCGUAAUGGUUUGGCAGUGGAUGCAAAUGGCAAUAACAAGAGGAUUCUUCCUUCAUCUUUUGCCAGUGGAAGCACGUCAAAAUCUACACAUCCAAGUGUUGCAAGUGAGAGCCGUAAACUCCCAUCACGUUUUACCAAUGGAAAUUCACAAAGGUUGGAUGAUAAUAGUAUAGGAACAAAUGAUGCCAAUGGCACUGGGCAGCCUUCAUCUUCAAGGUUCUCAAUCCGAAGCUACUCUGUGAGUAAUGCCCAGAAGGAUACCAUGGAAAAUGACGAUGAUGAUGUCUAUGUAUAUGAUAGUCCUAGUUCACAUAGGAUGCUGCCUGCAUCUUUUGGAGGCCAUAACUCUGCCAGUAACAAUGAACUUGCUAAUGUUAAUGACAUGCAAGCUCGUCCAAACCUAGAAAAUAGGUUUAUGGAUCCUGACGAGAGCGCAGUAUAUCAAGAGGCUCUUCAGGUAUGCAUCUUUGGUCCGUUGAGACAUAAACAACAUUCAUGUUCAUGCCCAGCUAAUCAUGUGACGUUUUGUCCAGAGAACAUUAGUCUGGAUAAAAGGGAAGAUGAUCUCGAUGAGGGUGUCUUAUCAGUAUCUCUGCUUAAGCACCAGAAAAUGGCAUUAGCUUGGAUGGUUUCGAAGGAGAAUAGUUCACAUUGUGCAGGAGGAAUUCUUGCAGAUGAUCAGGGUCUUGGGAAGACUGUGUCUACAAUUGCCCUUAUACUAAAACAGAAGAGUCAGCAGUCUAAGUUCAUGUGUGCUGAUUCAGAUCCUUUGAAAUCUGAAGCGCUAAACCUUGAUGAAGACGAUGAGGCAGUGACUGUUGUUGAUAAGGCGAAACAGUCUAUGAACGAUGAACCCAAGAAGGAUUUAGACGCUAGUUUAUCAACAGCAGCUAGUACUAGUGAUGUUAAACCAUCUAGUAGUCAUAUGGAUAUUGUUCCAAAUAGAAUUGUUGUUGAAAGCAAAGUUGAACGCAAGAAGACUAAAACAGGCACAUCAUCUGCAUCAUCGACCAUGCGAUCCAUGACAAGGCCAGCUGCAGGUACUUUAGUAGUAUGCCCUGCUAGUGUUCUUAAGCAGUGGGCUAAUGAAUUGAAUGACAAGGUUAGUCAAAGUGCUAGGUUAUCUGUUUUAGUCUACCAUGGUGGUGCAAGGACCAAAGAUCCAAGUGAGCUGGCAAAAUAUGAUGUCGUUGUCACGACAUACACAAUUGUGGCGAAUGAAGUGCCUAAACAGAAUGCUGAUGAUGACCAAGAUCAAAAGAAUGGGGAAGAAUCUUCUGUUGGUAAUAAAAGAAAACCACCAAGCAAAUCUAAGAAAAGGAAGAAGAAACUUAAGGAUUCAGAUAUUGACCUUGACAGUGGCCCAGUUGCCCGGGUACGGUGGUUUCGGGUGGUUCUUGAUGAAGCUCAGACGAUAAAAAAUUUCCGAACUCAAGUGGCUAAAGGCUGUUGUGGACUAAGAGCAAAAAGGAGAUGGUGCUUAUCAGGAACACCUAUACAAAAUUCAAUCGAUGAGCUCUACAGCUAUUUCCGUUUCUUGAAAUAUGAUCCAUAUUCUACAUAUAGCUCAUUUUGUACAAUGAUAAAGCACCCAAUUGCUAGAAAUGCAGUCCAUGGGUAUAAGAAACUACAAACUGUGUUGAGGAUAGUUCUCCUGCGUCGCACAAAAGAAACUAAGAUAAAUGGAGAACCGAUCAUAAACUUACCUCCAAAGACAAUUAAGUUGCAAAAGGUGGAUUUCACAAAGGAGGAGCGAGCUUUUUAUUUGACACUGGAAGAACGUUCUCGGCAACAGUUCAAGGAAUAUGCUGCUGCCGGAACAGUCAAACAAAACUAUGCCAAUAUCCUUUUAUUGUUGUUGCGCCUUAGGCAGGCUUGUGAUCAUCCUCUUCUUGUGAAGGGGCAUCAGUCGGUAUUUAAAGGCGAUGGUUCUAUAGAGAUGGCAAAACAACUUUCCAAGGAAAGGGUAAUAGAUUUGCUUGCAAGGCUGGAAGUAUCAGCGCUUUGUGCUGUAUGCCGUGACACACCUGAGGAUGCUGUUGUGGCGAUGUGUGGUCAUAUUUUCUGCUAUCAGUGUAUAUACGAGCGGAUAACAACUGAUGAAAACAUGUGCCCCGUCCCUAAUUGCAGAAACACGUUAAGUACUGAAUCAGUAUUUUCAUCAGGGACAUUAAAGAUUUGUAUCUCCGGCAAGACCAGUACUCAUGCGAUAGCGAGUUCAUCAGCAGACGAUGGGCUAUCUUCUAUCAGUCAAAGCAGUUACAUCUCCUCGAAGAUACAAGCGACCGUCGAUAUACUGAAUUCUAUCAUUAACAUGCAUGCUCUUACAGACAGUGAUACCAUUGAAUCAAAUCCAAACCGAGUAUCCCCUGUGAAAGCCAUUGUCUUCUCGCAGUGGACUGGCAUGCUGGAUUUGCUGGAGUUUUCACUGAACAGCAAUCUUAUACAGUACAGGAGACUAGACGGAACAAUGUCCCUCAAUUCAAGAGAUAAAGCCGUGAAGGAUUUUAACACCGACCCAGAGGUUAGAGUUAUGAUUAUGUCAUUGAAAGCGGGUAAUCUUGGUCUGAACAUGGUUGCUGCUUGCCAUGUAAUACUCCUUGAUCUUUGGUGGAAUCCUUAUGCUGAGGACCAGGCAAUUGAUAGAGCACACAGAAUUGGUCAGACUCGUCCUGUCACUGUCUCUCGUCUAACCAUUACAGAUACGGUGGAAGAUCGUAUUUUAUCUCUGCAGGAGGAAAAGAGAGCGAUGGUCAACUCUGCUUUCGGUGAAGACAAAUCCAGUGCCCACGCUACUCGGCUCACUGUAGAUGAUCUGAGGUAUCUGUUUAGGAUAUGA